GGUUAAUAAUUAACUGUACCGAAGACAGUAGGUGGCUUAGCCAUAAUUCCUACCGAGGACAUGUAUUGAAGCGAUUCAAUUGUCCCUCUAUGUCUACGGUGGCAUAGGGUUUUUUUAUUGUAAAA
rfam:Enterococcus sulfureus ATCC 49903 acyDF-supercont2.1, whole genome shotgun sequence.